UACGUAGGGGGCAAGCGUUGUCCGGAAUCAUUGGGCGUAAAGCGCGUGUAGGCGGCCCGGUAAGUCCGCUGUGAAAGUCGGGGGCUCAACCCUCGAAUGCCGGUGGAUACUGUCGGGCUAGAGUGCGGAAGAGGCGAGUGGAAUUCCUGGUGUAGCGGUGAAAUGCGCAGAUAUCAGGAGGAACACCAGUUGCGAAGGCGGGCU
rnacentral:rRNA from 1 species